rnacentral:rRNA from 1 species
CGGCGUGCUUAACACAUGCAAGUCGAGGGCAGGGAGGGGCAACUCUUCCUGACCGGCGAACGGGUGCGUAACACGUGAGCGAUCUACCCUGGUAUGGGGGAUAGCCGGCCCAACGGCCGGGUAAUACCGCAUACGCUCGUCUGGCUGCCUGGUCAGAUGAGGAAAGCCUUCGGGCGUACCGGGAGGGGCUCGCGGCCUAUCAGCUGGUUGGCGGGGUAACGGCCCACCAAGGCGACGACGGGUAGCUGGUCUGAGAGGAUGGCCAGCCACAUUGGGACUGAGAGACGGCCCAGACUCCUACGGGAGGCAGCAGUGGGGAAUCUUGCGCAAUGGGCGAAAGCCUGACGCAGCGACGCCGCGUGCGGGAGGACGGCCUUCGGGUCGUAAACCGCUGUUGCCCGGGACGAAACGGUCUUUCGAGAUCAUUGACGGUACCGGGUGAGGAAGCACCGGCUAACUCCGUGCCAGCAGCCGCGGUAAUACGGAGGGCGCGAGCGUUGUCCGGAAUCACUGGGCGUAAAGGGCGCGUAGGCGGCGCGGGAAGGCGGCGGUGAAAGUCCGGGGCUCAACCCCGGAUCGGCCGUGGCGACUCCCGCGCUGGAGCACAGUAGAGGCGGGUGGAAUUCCGGGUGUAGCGGUGGAAUGCGUAGAGAUCCCGGAAGAACACCGGUGGCGAAGGCGGCCCGCUGGGCUGUGGCUGACGCUGAGGCGCGACAGCGUGGGGAGCAAACAGGAUUAGAUACCCUGGUAGUCCACGCCGUAAACGAUGGGCACUAGGUGCCUGGGGGAGCGACCCCCUGGGUGCCGGCGCUAACGCAUUAAGUGCCCCGCCUGGGGGAGUACGGCCGCAAGGCUGAAACUCAAAGGAAUUUGACGGGGGCCCGCACAAGCGGGUGGGAGCCAUGGUGGAUUUAAUUCGACGCAACGCCGAAGAACCUUACCUGGGCUUGACAUCUCGGGGAAAGACCUCAGAAACGAGGUCCCCUCUUCGGAGUCCCGAGACAGGUGCUGCAUGGCUGUCGUCAGCUCGUGUCGUGAGAUGUUGGGUUAAGUCCCGCAACGAGCGCAACCCCCGCUCCCAGUUGCUAACAGGUCAAGCUGAGGACUCUGGGAGGACUGCCGGUGCCAAACCGGAGGAAGGUGGGGACGACGUCAAGUCAUCAUGGCCCUUACGUCCAGGGCUACACACGUGCUACAAUGGGCCGAACAAAGGGUUGCGAGAGCGCGAGCUGGAGCCAAUCCCUAAAAGCGGUCCUCAGUUCGGAUUGCAGGCUGCAACUCGCCUGCAUGAAGCCGGAAUCGCUAGUAAUCGCGGAUCAGCUACGCCGCGGUGAAUACGUUCCCGGGCC